rnacentral:lncRNA from 1 species
CGCAACAAAGUACUUCAGAUGGAGGGACUUACACAACAGUUUUUUAAUUUUUUUUUUUUUUAGAGAUAGGAUCUCGCUCUGUCACCUAGGCUGGAGUACAGUGCUGCAAUCAUAGCCCACUGCAGCCUUGACCUCCUGGGCUCAAGCGGUCUUCCCCUUCAGCCUUCCAACUAACUGGGACCACAGGUUUCUACUUACUGAAUAGUUCCUUCGUGAAGUUUCAGGAUUGCAAAAUGCAGAAGCUUCGUCACGUUAAAUACACCUGGGAGGAGCCACGCCUCAUUUUUAAAGCUUUCCAGGGCAAUGAAUGAAGUCAGACCACUGACAACAGCCACCUUGUGGAAAGAGAGGUGUGGUGGCUGCCAUCUCCAUGCACAUGGCAGCCUGGCUGGAGAUGAAGUAUGCGAAGAAGGCGCUGCAGACCUGAAUUUAUUGGCACAACCCUGGGACCAGCUGGGGACCAUGUAGAGCCUCGUCCCCUCCGGGUACUGUCAUGCACAUCCUUGGAAGAACAGACUCCAUCCUUUUUUCUUUUUCCAUGAGGGAUGACGAAACUGAAGGUAGGUUCAGUUACCUACACCCCCCAAGUCCUUGAGUGACCUGCCACUUCCUAUCCCAAAACAAAAUCCUGCUUAGUCCCUGGGAAUUCAUGUCCUCUGGUUUAGGAGUACUACAUCAAGCCACCCAAGAAAGGAGAUUUAAACCUUCUCCAGAAAAGUACCAGUCUGGAUGCUGAGAACAGAAGAUAGAGUGGGUUCAAAGGGCACAGGCCCUAAACUCUCAGGGUUAGAAAGGAACCUAGAGAUCAGACUGUGAUGGGGCCGGGGGCGGAAUGACUAUUUUUCUGAGUUUAUGUGGCUUAUCCCAAACCAGCUCAUUAGUGGCAAGUCAGAGGCUGCAGCCUACGCCCCUUGUUCCUGGCCUGGGGCUCUUCCCGCUGAAGCACGCGGCUAAUGCUUUUAGAACCACGGCGAGCCCAGGAGGAACCGGGUGAAUGUCAGGGCUGCCCUCCCACCCCGCCAACGCUCCCUUCCAGGAUAAUGAUGAUAGAAUGCUGCUGUGACACGUCUCCCGCACACGGUGAGGCUGAAGAACUGAAGAGGAGGCAGCUGGGUACUUUUCCAUCAGCUUCGUACCCCGCCUACCCAGUCCGCUUCUCUGAGCCUGGACAUUGGAGCUUCCCCAGCCGACUGCUGUUGUUCAGAACAUGGAGUUCCCGCUCACACCUUCACACAGCCGACAACCCUGGCAAACUCUGUCCCAUCAACUACAUCGUUUGUUUGGCCUGGCAGAGUUCUGGCUACUAAACAAACAAAACAGAAAAGUACACUCUAUUCCUCCCAGGUGUACACAGUCAGAUAAGGGAGACACACCCGUUGAAGUACCCUUCCCCGAAAAUAUAUCUUGCAUUUUUGCAUUAUUAUGGAUUAAUUAAAAAACAAAUGUAUUAAAUUUUGCUUCGCUUACAUGGGGACUAGAAAGAAACAGAGGUUGGGCCAGUUGCGAUGGCUCACGCCUGUAAUCCCAGCACUUUGGGAGGCCGAGG